UGGGGAAUUUUGCACAAUGGGGGAAACCCUGAUGCAGCGACGCCGCGUGAUUUAGAAGGCCUUCGGGUUGUAAAAAUCUUUUCUAUGGGAAGAAAAUGACAGUACCAUAGGAAUAAGGACCGGCUAAUUACGUGCCAGCAGCCGCGGUAAUACGUAAGGUCCGAGCGUUGUCCGGAAUCAUUGGGCGUAAAGGGUACGUAGGCGGGUAAGCAAGUUAGAAGUGAAAUCCUAUAGCUCAACUAUAGUAAGCUUUUAAAACUGCUCAUCUUGAGGUAUGGAAGGGAAAGUGGAAUUCCUAGUGUAGCGGUGAAAUGCGCAGAUAUUAGGAGGAAUACCGGUGGCGAAGGCGACUCUCUGGCCAUAACCUGACGCUGAGGUACGAAAGCGUGGGUAGCAAACAGG
rnacentral:rRNA from 1 species